UACGUAGGUGGCAAGCGUUGUCCGGAUUUACUGGGCGUAAAGGAUGCGUAGGUGGAUAUGCAAGUCAGAUGUGAAAUACCCGGGCUUAACUCGGGUGCUGCAUUUGAAACUAUAUAUCUAGAGUGCAGGAGAGGUAAGUGGAAUUCCUAGUGUAGCGGUGAAAUGCGUAGAGAUUAGGAAGAACACCAGUGGCGAAGGCGACUUACUGGACUGUAACUGACACUGAGGCAUGAAAGCGUGGGGAGCAAACAGGG
rnacentral:rRNA from 1 species